GAUUAAUCCGUCUUAAUAAUAACUUUCCCUUUACAACGAUGAGUCAUCAAACGGUUGAAGGCCUCAACAGUAUCUUCAAAGUCAUAUACACUAUCGAUGACUGUUUUGAUAUUAUGCUUCAUCACAAAAUCGACAAAAUCACGUAGCAUUUCCUGAUCUACGUGCAAAAGGAUAUUAUAGUAGCUAUGGGAUGAUCCACCUAGUACACGAGGACGAAGAGUACGUGAUAAGCGACUGCCAACGUAUGACAAAGUAAUAUCACCUCCAAUUCCAAAAAAUGCGCCGUCAGGCUUGACAAAUUUACUUGAAGCUCGGUAUAAAACAUUAUCGUUAACACAAUCAAAUACGAAAUCAUAGGGUCCUAGAUCAGCCAAGCGCUCAACGAGGUUGUCCUUUUUAUAGUCGAGUGUAUGAGUGGCACCCAAAGAUUUACAGAGAUCCAAGUUCUCGGUUGAGGAAAUCGUAGUGACUUCACAUUCCAAAGCUUUAGCUAACGCAACUGCAAACGUACCAACACCUCCACUAGCUCCCUCGAUAACCAAUUUGGUACCUGGCUUUACCUUCAUUUGUCGGACCAAUACCUCCCAGGCGGUUAAUCCAGCAAUACCGAACCCGGCACCCUCAUUGAACGAAACACCAUCGGGAAGGUGCCAAACAUCCUUAUCGCCCGUAACGAUGUGUGUAGCACAUGAACCACCUUGGCGACCUGCACGAGGAAAGGACUGACAACCCCAAACACGCUGAGUGGCGGAGAAUUCCUUGACCUCUGAUCCCACAGCUAGUACACGACCAGCAAAAUCAUAACCCGGAAUGUUUGGAAGCUUGAAGAGUGCCUUGGCAAUCAUUUGGUAAGUGUUCAUCAGCUUGUAAUCAAGCGGAUUGAUACUGGUAGCGACCACUUCAACGAGAACAUCAUACGGUCCCAGCUCCGCAGGAUUGGGUAUAUGCAAGCCCUUUUCCAGGUACAAAACAUCCUUCGGCUUGCCAGUACGGUUGUAAAGCCAAGCGGACUUGGUUCCAAACUCACUUUUGGUUUCGCUACUCAUUUUAACUAGAUGCUAAGAAAAAAUGGGUAUAAAAUGCAAAUAUCAAAUGAAACUUAUUAAAUUUGUGCAACAAUUUACACAAUAAAGUAGGUUAACUUUCGUUUACACGGCUAUUUGAAUUCAGUAACAAUAAAAAGAAAAGCAAAACCGCUUAAGCUCAACGCCUAGUAAUAGUGUCACA